rnacentral:rRNA from 1 species
GCGUGCCUAAUACAUGCAAGUCGAGCGAACAGACGAGGAGCUUGCUCCUCUGACGUUAGCGGCGGACGGGUGAGUAACACGUGGAUAACCCACCUAUAAGACUGGGAUAACUUCGGGAAACCGGAGCUAAUACCGGAUAAUAUAUUGAACCGCAUGGUUCAAUAGUGAAAGACGGUUUUGCUGUCACUUAUAGAUGGAUCCGCGCCGCAUUAGCUAGUUGGUAAGGUAACGGCUUACCAAGGCGACGAUGCGUAGCCGAACUGAGAGGGUGAUCGGCCACACUGGAACUGAGACACGGUCCAGACUCCUACGGGAGGCAGCAGUAGGGAAUCUUCCGCAAUGGGCGAAAGCCUGACGGAGCAACGCCGCGUGAGUGAUGAAGGUCUUCGGAUCGUAAAACUCUGUUAUUAGGGAAGAACAAAUGUGUAAGUAACUAUGCACGUCUUGACGGUACCUAAUCAGAAAGCCACGGCUAACUACGUGCCAGCAGCCGCGGUAAUACGUAGGUGGCAAGCGUUAUCCGGAAUUAUUGGGCGUAAAGCGCGCGUAGGCGGUUUUUUAAGUCUGAUGUGAAAGCCCACGGCUCAACCGUGGAGGGUCAUUGGGAACUGGAAAACUUGAGUGCAGAAGAGGAAAGUGGAAUUCCAUGUGUAGCGGUGAAAUGCGCAGAGAUAUGGAGGAACACCAGUGGCGAAGGCGACUUUCUGGU